UAAUCGGCGGUGCAGUAUCCUAGUCAGAUCUGCCGCUUUUGAAGAAGGGCCUAAAAAUCCUUUAAAGGGCAUAACUGUGAAACCCUUGGUGCCUGCUUCUUACGCCCAGUUUGGGGUGGGUGCUGAGCGGGAAGCGCGGACUCCCGCGCUUGCGGAUGUAGGGCGUUCCACAAUGGCAUGAGGAAGCCGACCCUGCAUCUGUGGAGACCUGUUCUUGUGCAUAGGCGUACUCCCUUGUGGUACUUCGACCUGUGUACGGCUCAGGGUAGAAACCUGUAUUGCGGUGCUACCCGGCCUUUGAGCCGUGAACGCUGUGUGCAGAUGUAGCCUGCCUUGCGUGGGUAUGGCGGAUAGGAGAACACCCAGCCGGGCCCCGGCCAGGGAACGGCUGCUAUUGCUCCUUGAAACCAUGGCUGCAAAAGAGGAUAUGAAGCGGUUUGACUGCAGUGGAAAACACCUAGGCUGUCGUCACUGGGCAGAUAAGGGAUUGCAGUGCGGACUAAGUGGCAAUCGGGUCCCGCGGUUGGUAACGCCGCGGCGGGGCGCUGAAAGGGAAACCACCUGAUCGGCAACGAGAGGCGCGCCCUGGGGAAAUCCUACCCGUACCUAAGCCGUAAGAUUUACUUUAUCGGCUGCCGUC
rnacentral:sRNA from 1 species